rnacentral:rRNA from 1 species
AAAGGCUGUGGUAUUGCACAGACAACCAGGCUGUUGGCCUACACGCCGCCCCUCCUUCAAAGACUGCGUCAUAGCCCUCUGGUCGAGUGCUCCUGCGCCGUAGAUUUUCUGGGCUACCUCUUACUCCCGAAGCUGCGGCAUCAGCAAUGCUGGGUAGCGGAGCUUCCCAUACGGCUUGAAGCACGACCGUAAGGACAUGUGGACCGUAUGGGAGUGAGAAUGUUGG